UAGUGACUUGUGCUUUAUAAGAUAAACUAGAUUUUAACCCGCGGUAUACCGCGGGACAAUUUAUUUUUUAAAAGUAAUAUAUAUUAAAAUUUGUAA
rnacentral:sRNA from 1 species